CAUCCUUUAAGGUCAGAGGUCAAAUAUAUGUGGCCAAAAUCGCUCAUUUUAUGAAUACUUUUGCAAUAUUGAAGAUAGCAACUUGAUAUUUGGCAUGCAUGUGUAUCUCAUGGAGCUGCACAUUUUGAGUGGUGAAAGGUCAAGGUCAUCCUUCAAGGUCAGAGGUCAAAUAUAUGUGGCCCAAAUCGCUUAUUUUAUGAAUACUUUUGCAAUAUUGAAGAUAGCAACUUGAUAUUUGGCAUGCAUGUGUAUCUCAUGGAGCUGCACAUUUUUAGUGGUGAAAGGUCAAGGUCAAGGUCAUCCUUCAAGGUCAAAUAUAUGGGUCAAAAUUGCUCAUGUAAUGUCACUUCUGCAAUAUUGAAGCUAGCAAUUUUAUAUUUGGCAUGCAUGUGUAUCUCAUGGAGCUGCACAUUUUGAGUGGUGAAAGGUCAAGGUCAAGGUCAUCCUUCAAGGUCAGAGGUCAAAUAUAUGUGGCCCAAAUCGCUUAUUUUAUGAAUACUUUUGCAAUAUUGAAGAUAGCAACUUGAUAUUUGGCAUGCAUGUGUAUCUCAUGGAGCUGCACAUUUUGAGUGGUGAAAGGUCAGGGUCAUCCUUCAAGGUCAGAGGUCAAAUAUAUGUGGCCAAAAUCGCUCAUUUUAUGAAUACUUUUGCAAUAUUGAAGAUAGCAACUUGAUAUUUGGCAUGCAUGUGUAUCUCAUGGAGCUGCACAUUUUGAGUGGUGAAAGGUCAAGGUCAUCCUUCAAGGUCAGAGGUCAAAUAUAUGUGGCCCAAAUCGCUUAUUUUAUAAAUACUUUUGCAAUAUUGAAGAUAGCAACUUGAUAUUUGGCAUGCAUGUGCAUCUCAUGGAGCUGCACAUUUUGAGUGGUGAAAGGUCAAGGUCAUCCUUCAAGGUCAGAGGUCAAAUAUAUGUGGCCAAAAUCGCUCAUUUUAUGAAUACUUUUGCAAUAUUGAAGAUAGAAACUUGAUAUUUGGCAUGCAUGUGUAUCUCAUGGAGCUGCACAUUUUGAGUGGUGAAAGGUCAAGGUCAUCCUUCAAGGUCAGAGGUCAAAUAUAUGUGGCCCAAAUCGCAUAUUUUAUUAAUACUUUUGCAAUAUUGAAGAUAGCAACUUGAUAUUUGGCAUGCAUGUGUAUCUCAUGGAGCUGCACAUUUUGAGUGGUGAAAUGUCAAGGUCAAGGUCAUCCUUCACAAGGUCAAGGUCAUCCUACAAGGUCAAACAUCAUAUAGGGGGACAUUGUGUUUCACAAACACAUCU